rnacentral:RNase_P_RNA from 1 species
GGCCCGCCUGUGAGGAAAGUCCGGGCUCCGCAGGGCAAGGAUAACGGGUAACACCCGCCGGGGGCGACCCUAGGACAAGUGCAACAGAGAUAUACCGCCGCAUCCUUCCUCACGAGGGAAAAGUGUAUAACAAGUAAACUCCCGACCAACUGUAGAGUUUCGUUUUCGCUGGGUGCGGUAAGGGUGGAAAGGCGAGGUAAGAGCUCACCCGAUGGCGCGUAAAAGUGCCCAUCGCUGUAAACUCUAUCCGGAGCAACGCCGUGGAGGGACAUUGGCCGGCCCGGCCGUCCCGGGGAGGCGGCUUGAGCGCGCCGGCAACGACGCGUCGAGAUAGAUGGCUGUCUUAAAAGACAGAACCCGGCUUACAGGCUUACUGCAGCA